rnacentral:rRNA from 1 species
GUUAAAAAGCUCGUAGUUGGGUGUCUGCCAGCGAGAAGCGGUCCACUCUAUGAGUGAGUAUCUGUUCUUCAGCUAGCAUAUAUGUGUGCUCUCACUCAGUGCUUGAUUGCACUGGUUUGAGUCUGCAGCUGUUACUUUGAGGAAAUUAGAGUGUUCUCGGCAGGUUGAAGCUUUGGAUACAUUAGCAUAAGAUAAUAUCAUAGGACUCCAGUUCUAUUUUGUUGGUUUCCGGAAUCGGGGUGGUGGCAAAUAGGGACAGCUGGGGGCAUCUGUAUUAUCGCGUCAGAGGUGGAAUUCUUGGAUUGCGUUACGACAAUCAACUGCGAAAGCAUUUGCCAAGGAUGUUUUCAUUGAUCAAGAGCGAAAGUAUAGGGAUCGAAGAUGAUUAGAUACCGUCGUAGUCUAUACUUUAAACUAUGCCAACUAGGGACUGGGGGAAGUUGCUUUAUGACUCCCUCGGGAUCUUUCGAGAAAUUAAAGUUUUUGGGUUCCGGGGGGAGUAUGGUCGCAAGGCUGAAACUUAAAGGAAUUGACGGAAGGGCACCACCAGGAGUGGAGCCUGCGGCUUAAUUUGACUCAACACGGGGAAUCUCACCAGGUCCAGACAUAGUAAGGAUUGACAGAUUGACAGCUUUUUCUUGAUUCUAUGGGUGGUGGUGCAUGGCCGUUCUUAGUUGGUGGAGUGAUUUGUCUGGUUAAUUCCGUUAACGA